CAGGUUAUCUAUGCACUGAACACGAAAAACGACGAACACGAGGCGGCCAUCGCCACUCUGAAGGAGGCCCAUGAAGAGGAGGUGCAGCAGAUCCUGUCUGAGACCAGAGAGAAGAUCCUACAGUACAAGAGUAAGAUCAGCGAUGAGAUGGACCUGAAGAGGCGGAUCCAGUCUCUGGAGGAGUCCAUGGAGCUCCACGAGAGGAUGAAGAGGCAGGCGCUGGCCGAGUUCGAGAGCUACCGUCAGAGGGUGGAGGACAUGCAGCUGUGCACCGACGCUCAGCACACGCAGCGAGUGGUUUCCAUGUCGAGGGAGGUGGAGGAGAUGAGGCGGUCCUUCGAGGAGAAGCUGCGUACGUUCAGCCAGGCCCAGUCCC